rnacentral:lncRNA from 1 species
CUAAUGUGCGGCCCAAUGCUUAGGGUGCGGCCCAAUGCUUCUAGAAACCCUAAUGUGCGGCCCAAUGCUUCUAGAAACCCUAAUGUGCGGCCCAAUGCUUCUAGAAACCCUAGGAAAGCUUGUUGACUUUGAUCCCUGAUCUUUGACCUUGACCUUGUUCCAUGACCAGAAGUUUAAGCUUCAUUAAUAGCAAUUAAUGUCACUAUCUUCAAG